rnacentral:lncRNA from 1 species
GAUGGCUCCAUGUUUGACUGCAGUGGUGUCUCCUAGCAACUUGGCUGAAAAAUGAACAUCCAGCAGGGAUGCUCUGACUGCUACGUAAAACCGUGUUUCUCUUGAUGAGGCUAACUCAACCAUCUUCACUGCUGUCCUCUGCACUAAAUGUUGUGCCGUACUGUUGAAAGCGCUUCUCAAGAUCAGCAUUAAAGGCUGUAAUUGGAACAGUAGAGUUUGGCCUGCUGUAUUUCACCUCAAGAAAUCA